rnacentral:rRNA from 1 species
GACGAACGCUGGCGGCGUGCCUAACACAUGCAAGUCGAGCGGGGACAUAUUCGGAAGGUCUUCGGAUUGGAAGGAUAUGUUCUAGCGGCGGACGGGUGAGUAACGCGUGAACAAUCUGUCCCAGACAGGGGAAUAACGCAUCGAAAGGUGUGCUAAUACCGCAUGAGACCACAGGACCGCAUGGUCAAGGGGUCAAAGAUUUAUCGGUGAUAGAUGGGCUCGCGUCUGAUUAGCUGGUUGGUGAGGUAACGGCCCACCAAGGCGACGAUCAGUAGCCGACCUGAGAGGGUGAUCGGCCACAUUGGAACUGAGAAACGGUCCAA